CUCUGAUCAUGGCCCAAGCUGUCAGUGGGAUGCCACUGAGAGAAGCAAAUAUAAGUUGUCUUACAUUAAGCUGGUGGACAUUAAAGAGAUUUGCAAUAACGUAAAGCAAAAUAAUAAUAAUUUACAUAGUUAAAUGAACGUGUCUAUAAAAUAAACCUGUUAGCCAAGAGAUGGUAGAAAUUAGUGCAUUUUUAGGCUAGGAUGUAUUUAUAUUCCAAAGGAAGAAUAAUAAUUAUACUAUGUAAAAUCAAGUUUAAUAAUAAAGGUUUUUUGUUGUUG
rnacentral:lncRNA from 1 species